CUUAUUAGAGGGUCUCUAGAAGGAUGUGAUUCUGUGCUGAAAGGUGAACACACAAAAGCCCUUUGUCGCUAGGCGGUCGAACCGGACCGGCGCUAAGCGGACCGUACCGGUUUUUGACCUGAACACUACUUCAGUUAAAUGGCUAUAACUUCGUCAAUUUUACGAAUUUUUACAUGCAACUUGUUUUAAACUAUUUUUAAAUGUUCAAACUUUGAAAUUAAGCAAAAAAAUUGUUUUUGAAAAUUUGAAAGUUUCAAGGUGGCAUAACCCCUUAAAACACAGCGAUUCUAAUUAGAAUACGAAAUGCAACAAUAUGAAUAAAUAAUCAAAUAUAGUACAGUUUGUUCCGCCAGGAAAAUUCACAGUAACAAUUAUUUCUUUGACGACACCACUGGCAACUUUAUUAAUUCAGAAAAAACGACGUUUCGACCAGAAUUUCUGGCCCUCUUCAGAUGGACUGGUACAAGAAUACGUCCGUACGAGAUGGUGACUAACAUACAAGUGAUGUUCGAGGAGACAAAACCUAAAUAUUAUUCAGUAUUGGAUCAUAAACACAUGGCAAGUUUUCGAUGUCCUUUUGCAGAUUGAUUGCGUUACGAUGUCUUUUGAUGAAAAUCAUUUCCGCUACUUCCCGUUUCAUAUAUGCAAUAGAGAUGGUUUUGGACUCUACUGUUUUUACUUUUGACGGUAAAUUCUAUAAUCAAGUGUUUGGCACCCCUAUGGGGUCACCACUGUCACCGGUUAUUGCGGAUAUUGUGAUGGAUGAUUUGGAGACGUGUUGCAUCGAGGCCUUGGGGUUUAACAUUAAAAUAUAUUAUAGAUAUGUCGAUGACAUUUUCUUAAUUUUACCAACUGACAAGAUUCAGCAUGUUUUACAAAUAUUUAACAAUUACCAUCCACGUUUACAAUUUACAAUCGAGUCGGAAAGUAAUAAUUGCAUCAGUUUUUUAGAUACAAUGAUAAUUAGAGACAACGGAAUUUUGGUCACGAACUGGUAUCGAAAACCAACUUUCUCCGGCCGAUACAUAAAUUAUUUUUCUAACCGUCCUUUACAACACAAAAUUGGUGUAAUCACAAACUUAGUUGAUAGAGCAAUUUUACUUUCUGACAUUAAAUUUCAUAGGACGAAUAUUGAGACACUUAAAGCGAUUUUAUUGAACAAUUGUUAUCCAUCGAAUUUUGUUAACAGAUAUGUUAACGUAAGUGAAGUGUAAGUUUUUGUGUAUUCAAUAUUUAUACAUUUUUUAUUGAAAAAUUUAGUUAAAAUAUAAUUCAGUCUAACGAUUCAUGUAGAACAAAUCAAAAUAACAAUCAGAAUACAGGGUGUUAGGACCAAUAACACUAUUGACAGUGUGUUACAUUAACAUAUGUAAUAACGAUAACCACAAUCAUGCAAAUGCUUCGAUUCAACAGUGUUAUUAGCUCUAAUGUCCUGCGUUAUGAUUGUUAUUUUGAAUUAUUUUUAGCAUGUAAGGUUACUUUUGGUUAUUAUAUCCCUAUACUUAUGGAUUGUUGUAUUCCUAUCAAGUUCAGUUUCUUAUAUAAUUUUUACCCUAUUCUUAAAAAAA
rnacentral:lncRNA from 1 species